UACGAAGGGGGCUAGCGUUGCUCGGAAUCACUGGGCGUAAAGGGUGCGUAGGCGGGUCUUUUAAGUCAGGGGGUGAAAUCCUGGAGCUCAACUCCAGAACUGCCUUUGAUACUGAGGAUCUUGAGUUCGGGAGAGGUGAGUGGAACUGCGAGUGUAGAGGUGAAAUUCGUAGAUAUUCGCAAGAACACCAGUGGCGAAGGCGGCUCACUGGCCCAUUACUGACGCUGAGGCACGAAAGCGUGGGGAGCAAACAGG
rnacentral:rRNA from 1 species